UUACCAUGAUGAGAAAUCUUUAUUCAGUUCUGCUUCUGCAAAAUUAUUGAAGAAAAUCCAUUAUACCAAAAAUAACGAUCCUGAUCC
rnacentral:snoRNA from 1 species